rnacentral:sRNA from 1 species
GAAUGCAUUCCAAGUGAGAUGUCCAAGAUCAAAGGAAC